UACAGAGGGUGCGAGCGUUAAUCGGAAUUACUGGGCGUAAAGCGUGCGUAGACGGUUAUUUAAGUCUGAUGUGAAAGCCCCGGGCUCAACCUGGGAAUGGCAUUGGAAACUGGCUUGCUAGAGUGUGGCAGAGGGGGGUGGAAUUCCGCGUGUAGCAGUGAAAUGCGUAGAGAUGCGGAGGAACACCGAUGGCGAAGGCAGCCCCCUGGGCUGACACUGACGCUCAGGCACGAAAGCGUGGGGAGCAAACAGG
rnacentral:rRNA from 1 species